CUACUCCAAAAAACUAUCACAGGAAUAAUGAAGAAAACAUCUAGUUAAGAAUCUCCAGUCCUGCUAUACAAUUGGUUUUCUGUACCAGUCUGAGAACCCCAACUUUAUAUUAGUCCAUAACUUCAGUUUUGUUUGUCUCCUCCUGCUGGCAAUGAAAUGUAACCAUACAAAUGGAAAAUGAUGUAGUGGCAGCUGCAGAAAAUCUGUUUUCAGGACUGACCUUGCUCUUAGAGGCAGAGUAGUUUUCCACAUAAUUCUUCCAGCAAAAACAUUUAACAUAACCAUGUUUUCAUCAUGCAGAAAAGGUUUAGAAUCUAUCUGAUAAAGAGCAAAGUCAUAUUUGGACAGAAGUGGGAGCUGUUGGAACAAAUGUGGAGAUAUUAACUGAACACUUUGGAUAUGAUGAAAUGAACCUACAGGCUUUUGUUUAGAAGGGAAAAAUGUGUUCAUAGGAAGGUCUGUUAGAGUGGCUGCUGGUGAACACAGAGGAGAGUGAACACAUUUGGAAAGUUAUUCUCAAUAUUGGAAGUGGAAGAAAUAGAAUGAAAAGAUGGAUCAUUUCAGUUUAUCAUCAGAUGAUAUUGGUUUCCACCUUUUCACAUGUGAAUCACUGGCCACAAUUGAGAAGCGGAUUGCUGAGAAAAAAACAGAGCAAGCCAAGGCUAGGCUGGAAAAUCGUGUUCAACAGGCUGAAGUAGAAAAACGUCAGCCCCGACCUUAUCUGAGAGCUUUCAAAAAGCUGCCUGCUCUGUUUGGGAAUCCUCCUCUGGAGCUCAUCGGGGAACCCUUGGAAGAUCUUGAUCCGUACUAC